AGGCCCCAUUGACCCCUUGACCUAUUCCCCUUUCCCAGGUGCUCUCCCUGCCCCCACCCUCUACCUGAGCCAGACGUCUGCUCAACAGGGUGACUCCGUGCAGCUCAAGUGUUCUGUGGUCUCGCAGGCCCCAGCCACCCACGUCAUCUUCUGUAAGGAUGGGGAGGAGGUUUUCUCCCAGACAGGGCUGGAGAAGAAUGUCUCCUACAGCUAUGACCAUGCGGUGUCCAUGGGCAGCUCUGGGAAUUACUCCUGCGGGUACGAGAUCAAGGAGAGCAACAAGCAGGUGACCAGAUCCAAGCUCAGCCCUGCCCAGCACCUCAGCAUUACUGGCAGCGUGAGCAAUAGAGGAAGAGGGGAGGAGCCGACCCGUACAGAGCCAGUCAUGUCUCUCGUCAUCUGGGCUGCUCGCUGUGUCCUGGUCCUGCUCCUCUUGCUCUCUGCACCUAUCAUCACUUUCAUGCUGGAGAGACGGGGCUUGCCUCAUCUCACAGGGCUGGAGAAGACUCACAGGGGUAGCAUCAGCAUCAUGGAGGGUAAAGGGGCUGGGAGUGGAGGAACUAUAUAAACAAGCUGUUAGUAGGGGGCUGAAGGUUCUGGGGAGAUACCAAUGCUCAGCUCUGAGCAGGUUGUUGGGGAGACACCAUUGGUCAGUGCUGCACACUAGGCUCCUGCAGUAACAGUCUUUGCCCAGGUAACUCCUCCAGCAUCCUUCAGAAGCAGAAGAGUCCCUCCUUCGAGAAAAGCUGUAUGAUUAGGGGGAAAGGAUGGGCUCAUGGUUAAGCCCCUAGGAUGGGACUUCUGGGAGAUUGAGGUUUAAGUCCCAGUUGUGCUACAGCAUCCUUGAGCAUGUCACUUCAUUGCCCUGGGGCUCAGCUCCCCAUCUGUGAAACAGGGACAAUAAUUCUGCCUUCUCUAAGGGGAAAAUUUCCAAAGCCCCUAUAGGAUUUAGGAGCACAAGUCUGUGACUGUGCUUUGUGCUCCUAAAUCCCUCGAGUGCUUUUGAAAAUCUCCUCCUUACAUUGCACACCCAGCAGUUAUUGAAACUGGGUGUAGCAGUUUUGGAUAUGCUCAAGUUCCCUGUAGCUCAACUCAUAAACUCCACUGAAAACAAGUAGUCAGGGCAGCUACUUUACAAAAAAGACCUGUGACCUGCCUGGGCUGAGAGAAACGCAGCCACAGGAACAAAAAGCAAAUUGUUUUCAUAGAUUCAUAGAUUCUAGGACUGAAAGGGACCUCGAGAGGUCAUUGAGUCCAGUCAUCUGCCCUCAUGGCAGGACCAAAUACUGUCUAGACCAGGGGUCGGCAACCUUUCAGAAGUUGUGUGCCGAGUCUUCAUUUAUACACUCUAAUUUAAGGUUUUGCAUGCUGGUAAUACAUUUUAAUGUUUUUAGAAGGUCCCUCUCUACAAG
rnacentral:lncRNA from 1 species